rnacentral:tRNA from 1 species
GGGCGUGUAGCUCAGUUGGUUAGAGCGCGUCGUUCACACCGACGAGGCCAGGGGUUCGAGUCCCUUCACGCCCACCA